UAAUACCUGAUGGUAUGAUGAGAUUGCAUGAUAGCAUCAUUAAAGAUUUAUCGGUGUACGAUGGGGAUGCGUUCCAUUAGGUAGUAGGCGGGGUAACGGCCCACCUAGCCAACGAUGGAUAGGGGUUCUGAGAGGAAGGUCCCCCAUAUUGGAACUGAGACACGGUCCAAACUCCUACGGGAGGCAGCAGUGAGGAAUAUUGGUCAAUGGACGAGAGUCUGAACCAGCCAAGUAGCGUGAAGGAUGAAGGUCCUACGGAUUGUAAACUUCUUUUAUAAGGGAAUAAACCCUCCCACGUGUGGGAGCUUGUAUGUACCUUAUGAAUAAGCAUCGGCUAACUCCGUGCCAGCAGCCGCGGUAAUACGGAGGAUGCGAGCGUUAUCCGGAUUUAUUGGGUUUAAAGGGAGCGCAGACGGGUCGUUAAGUCAGCUGUGAAAGUUUGGGGCUCAACCUUAAAAUUGCAGUUGAUACUGGCGUCCUUGAGUGCGGUUGAGGUGUGCGGAAUUCGUGGUGUAGCGGUGAAAUGCUUAGAUAUCACGAAGAACUCCGAUUGCGAAGGCAGCACACUAAUCCGUAACUGACGUUCAUGCUCGAAAGCGUGGGGAGCAAACAGGAUUAGAUACC
rnacentral:rRNA from 1 species